GGACAUGUUAUCUGGGUGGAAAUACUUUGUUGAUGCAGUCAAACAAAACAGAUCAAUACCCAUUGUCACAACAGAUCAACACAGAAUUGUAGAAACUAUCAUAUAAGCCUUUUGGUUCAUGACUAAUUAAAGUGACAAGCUACUAGCUCUAAAGUCUAAGAGCGAAAAGCUUACAGUGUCAACUAGAUCCUCUUUUGGAGGAAGAAGCUUGUAUUCAGGGAUACCACCGAGAUGGCCCAUAAUGGCGACAUUCUGCUCUGCAAGCAAAGAAACCUCGUUAUAUCACAUAAACAUCAUUUCAACAACAAAAAUCAAACCAAGAUCUCAACACCUCGAGUCCUAAGCAAAGACAACCAAUUAAAAUUCGCAAAGAUUAGACACAGAGAGAGAGAGAGAGUAAUGAGAGGCUCAGAACGUACGGGAACUAGCUUCAGAAUUCUCA